rnacentral:rRNA from 1 species
GAGUUUGAUUAUGGCUCAGAUUGAACGCUGGCGGCAUGCUUUACACAUGCAAGUCGAACGGCAGCGGGGAAGUGCUUGCACUUCUGCUGGCGAGUGGCGAACGGGUGAGUAAUGCAUUGGAACGUACCGGGUAAUGGGGGAUAACUUGCCGAAAGGUAAGCUAAUACCGCAUACGCUCUUAGGAGGAAAGCGGGGGAUCAUUUGACCUCGCGUUAUCCGAGCGGCCAAUGUCUGAUUAGCUAGUUGGUGGGGUAAAAGCCUACCAAGGCAACGAUCAGUAGCGGGUCUGAGAGGAUGAUCCGCCACACUGGGACUGAGACACGGCCCAGACUCCUACGGGAGGCAGCAGUGGGGAAUUUUGGACAAUGGGCGCAAGCCUGAUCCAGCCAUGCCGCGUGUCUGAAGAAGGCCUUCGGGUUGUAAAGGACUUUUGUCGGGGAAGAAAAGGCAGAUGCUAAUAUCGUUUGCUGAU